AUUGAACGCUGGCGGCAGGCCUAACACAUGCAAGUCGAGCGGAGUUUUCGAACCUAGCGGCGGACGGGUGAGUAAUGCGUAGGAAGCUACCCGAUAGAGGGGGAUACCAGUUGGAAACGACUGUUAAUACCGCAUAAUGUCUACGGACCAAAGUGUGGGACCUUCGGGCCACAUGCUAUCGGAUGCGCCUACGUGGGAUUAGCUAGUUGGUGAGGUAAUGGCUCACCAAGGCGACGAUCCCUAGCUGGUUUGAGAGGAUGAUCAGCCACACUGGAACUGAGACACGGUCCAGACUCCUACGGGAGGCAGCAGUGGGGAAUAUUGGACAAUGGGCGCAAGCCUGAUUCAGCCAUGCCGCGUGUGUGAAGAAGGCCUUCGGGUUGUAAAGCACUUUCAGUAGGGAGGAAGCGUUGUGUGUUAAUAGUACACAGCGUUGACGUUACCUACAGAAGGAGCACCGGCUAACUCUGUGCCAGCCGCCGCCGUAAAAC
rnacentral:rRNA from 1 species